rnacentral:rRNA from 1 species
AACCCGGGGAACUGAAACAUCUAAGUACCCGGAGGAAAAGAAAUCAAACGAGAUGCCCACAGUAGCGGCGAGCGAAGAGGGCAGAGCCCAAACCUGUAAGCUACGGCUUAUGGGGGUUGAGGACUGACGGAAUUAAGGCCAGGCUUAGCUGAACUACCUGGGAAGGUAGGCGAUAGAAGGUAAGAGCCCUGUAAGCGAAAGGCAGAGCCUUAAGGUCAGUAUCCAGAGUACCACGGAGCACGAGGAAUUCUGUGGGAAGCAGGGGGGACCACCCUCCAAGGCUAAAGACUAACUGGCGACCGAUAGCGCAUAGUACCGUGAGGGAAAGGUGAAAAGAACCCCGGGAGGGGAGUGAAAUAGUACCUGAAACCGUAUGUCUACAAGCAGUCGGAGCGAAAGCGACGGCGUGCCUAUUGAAGAAUGAACCAACGAGUUAUCUGCACUAGCGAGGUUAAGUGGAAGACACGGAGCCGUAGCGAAAGCGAGUCUGAAAAGGGCGGAUAGUUAGUGUAGGUAGACCCGAAACCGCAGUGAUCUACCCAUGUCCAGGUUGAAGCGCAGGUAAAAAUGCGUGGAGGACCGAACCGGUGAGCGUUGAAAAGCUUUCGGAUGAGAUGUGGGUAGGGGUGAAAUUCCAAUCGAACGCGGAGAUAGCUGGUUCUCCCCGAAAUAGCUUUAGGGCUAGCCUCAGGUAGUAAGUAUAGGCGGUAGAGCACUGAUCGGGCUAGGGGCCAUAAAGGUUACCGAACCCUGUCAAACUCCGAAUGGAUAUACUGCAGAGCCUGGGAGUCAGACUACGAGUGAUAAGAUCCGUGGUCAAAAGGGAAACAGCCCAGACCACCGGCUAAGGUCCCAAAUGCCGUACUAAGUGGAAAAGGAUGUGGGGAUUCAUAAACAACCAGGAUGUUGGCUCAGAAGCAGCCACCAUUUAAAGAGUGCGUAAUAGCUCACUGGUCGAGAGUCCCUGCGCCGAAAAUUUCCGGGGCUAAAGUACGGAACCGAAGCCGUGGCUGUGUACGUAAGUACACGGGGUAGGGGAGCGUUGCCACAGGGGUAAAGCUGGUCUGGAAGGACUGGUGGACUUGUGGGAAGUGAGAAUGUUGGUAUGAGUAGCGAAAAGAAAGGUGAGAAUCCUUUCCACCGAAAGCAUAAGGAUUCCUGAGCAACGAUCGUCGUCUCAGGGUAAGUCGGGACCUAAUCCGAGGCAAAGAGCGUAGGAGAUGGACAACAGGUUGAUAUUCCUGUACCGGCAGCAAUUGUUUGAGCGAAGGAGUGACACAGAAGGGCAGGCAGGCGCGAGACUGGAUUGUCGCGUGCAAGCGUGUAGGGUAGUGUACAGGCAAAUCCGUACACUGAAAGCCUGAGGCGUUACGCGGAGCGAGCAGAGAUGCGAGCGAAGCUGCUGAUCCCACACUGUCGAGAAAAGCUUCUAGUGAGAGAGCUGCCGCCCGUACCGUAAACCGACACAGGUAUGCGGGGAGAGAAUCCUAAGGUGCGCGGGAGAACCCUCGUUAAGGAACUCGGCAAAAUGUACCCGUAACUUCGGGAUAAGGGUAGCCGUCUUGGUGAAGGAGCUUGCCUCUGGAGCUGAAGGCGGUCGCAGAGAAGAGGCCCAAGCGACUGUUUACCACAAACACAGGUGCCUGCUAAAGCGAAAGCUGACGUAUAGGUGCUGACACCUGCCCAGUGCUGGAAGGUUAAGGAAGGAUGUCCGGGCAACCAAAGCAUUCGACCGAAGCCCCAGUGAACGGCGGCCGUAACUAUAACGGUCCUAAGGUAGCGAAAUUCCUUGUCAGGUAAGUUCUGACCCGCAUGAAAGGUGUAACGAUUUGGGCACUGUCUCAACGAGGGACCCGGUGAAAUUGAAAUACCUGUGAAGAUGCAGGUUACCCGCGACUGGACAGAAAGACCCCAUGGAGCUUUACUGUAACCUGACAUUGGGUUUUGUUGUAUUACGUACAGGAUAGGUGGGAGGCUUGGAAGGCUGGACGCUAGUCUGGCUGGAGCCGGCGUUGGGAUACCACCCUUGAUACAACGGAAUUCUAACCGAGAGAGUAACGAAAUCCGGGACAGUGUCAGGCGGGCAGUUUGACUGGGGCGGUCGCCUCCGAAAGAGUAACGGAGGCGCCCAAAGGUUCCCUCAGCGCGGCCGGAAAUCGCGCGAAGAGUGUAAAGGCAGAAGGGAGCUUGACUGCGAGCCAAACACGGCGAGCAGGUACGAAAGUAGGGCUUAGUGAUCCGGUGGUACCGAGUGGAAGGGCCAUCGCUCAACGGAUAAAAGCUACCCUGGGGAUA